rnacentral:tRNA from 1 species
GCCAGUGUGGUAUAGUGGUUUGAGCAUUGGACUAUGACUCUGGAGGCCAGGGUUCAAAUCACAGCUCGGCCA